GGUUAAGCGACUAAGCGUACACGGUGGAUGCCCUGGCAGUCAGAGGCGAUGAAGGACGUGCUAAUCUGCGAAAAGCGUCGGUAAGGUGAUAUGAACCGUUAUAACCGGCGAUGUCCGAAUGGGGAAACCCAGUGCAAUUCGUUGCACUAUCGUUAACUGAAUACAUAGGUUAACGAGGCGAACCGGGGGAACUGAAACAUCUAAGUACCCCGAGGAAAAGAAAUCAACCGAGAUUCCCCCAGUAGCGGCGAGCGAACGGGGAGCAGCCCGGAGUCUGAAUCAGCUUGUGUGUUAGUGGAAGCGUCUGGAAAGUCGCAGGGUACAGGGUGAUACUCCCGUACACUAAAACACACAGGCUGUGAACUCGAAGAGUAGGGCGGGACACGUGGUAUCCUGUCUGAAUAUGGGGGGACCAUCCUCCAAGGCUAAAUACUCCUGACUGACCGAUAGUGAACCAGUACCGUGAGGGAAAGGCGAAAAGAACCCCGGCGAGGGGAGUGAAAAAGAACCUGAAACCGUGUACGUACAAGCAGUAGGAGCCCACUAGUUGGGUGACUGCGUACCUUUUGUAUAAUGGGUCAGCGACUUAUAUUCUGUAGCAAGGUUAACCGUAUAGGGGAGCCGCAGGGAAACCGAGUCUUAACUGGGCGUUAAGUUGCAGGGUAUAGACCCGAAACCCGGUGAUCUAGCCAUGGGCAGGUUGAAGGUUGGGUAACACUAACUGGAGGACCGAACCGACUAAUGUUGAAAAAUUAGCGGAUGACUUGUGGCUGGGGGUGAAAGGCCAAUCAAACCGGGAGAUAGCUGGUUCUCCCCGAAAGCUAUUUAGGUAGCGCCUCGUGAACUCAUCUUCGGGGGUAGAGCACUGUUUCGGCUAGGGGGUCAUCCCGACUUACCAACCCGAUGCAAACUACGAAUACCGAAGAAUGUUAUCACGGGAGACACACGGCGGGUGCUAACGUCCGUCGUGAAGAGGGAAACAACCCAGACCGCCAGCUAAGGUCCCAAAGUCAUGGUUAAGUGGGAAACGAUGUGGGAAGGCCCAGACAGCCAGGAUGUUGGCUUAGAAGCAGCCAUCAUUUAAAGAAAGCGUAAUAGCUCACUGGUCGAGUCGGCCUGCGCGGAAGAUGUAACGGGGCUAAACCAUGCACCGAAGCUGCGGCAGCGACACUAUGUGUUGUUGGGUAGGGGAGCGUUCUGUAAGCCGUUGAAGGUGGCCUGUGAGGGUUGCUGGAGGUAUCAGAAGUGCGAAUGCUGACAUAAGUAACGAUAAUGCGGGUGAAAAACCCGCACGCCGGAAGACCAAGGGUUCCUGUCCAACGUUAAUCGGGGCAGGGUGAGUCGACCCCUAAGGCGAGGCCGAAAGGCGUAGUCGAUGGGAAACAGGUUAAUAUUCCUGUACUUGGUGUUACUGCGAAGGGGGGACGGAGAAGGCUAUGUUGGCCGGGCGACGGUUGUCCCGGUUUAAGCAUGUAGGCGGAUGUUCCAGGUAAAUCCGGAACGUUAUUAACGCUGAGGUGUGAUGACGAGGCACUACGGUGCUGAAGUGACAAAUGCCCUGCUUCCAGGAAAAGCCUCUAAGCAUCAGGUAACAUCAAAUCGUACCCCAAACCGACACAGGUGGUCAGGUAGAGAAUACCAAGGCGCUUGAGAGAACUCGGGUGAAGGAACUAGGCAAAAUGGUGCCGUAACUUCGGGAGAAGGCACGCUGAUGGUAAGUGAAGUGACUUGCUCACGGAGCUGAAAUCAGUCGAAGAUACCAGCUGGCUGCAACUGUUUAUUAAAAACACAGCACUGUGCAAACACGAAAGUGGACGUAUACGGUGUGACGCCUGCCCGGUGCCGGAAGGUUAAUUGAUGGGGUUAUCCUCGCGGAGAAGCUCUUGAUCGAAGCCCCGGUAAACGGCGGCCGUAACUAUAACGGUCCUAAGGUAGCGAAAUUCCUUGUCGGGUAAGUUCCGACCUGCACGAAUGGCGUAAUGAUGGCCAGGCUGUCUCCACCCGAGACUCAGUGAAAUUGAACUCGCUGUGAAGAUGCAGUGUACCCGCGGCAAGACGGAAAGACCCCGUGAACCUUUACUAUAGCUUGACACUGAACACUGGUCCUUGAUGUGUAGGAUAGGUGGGAGGCUUUGAAGUGUGGACGCCAGUCUGCAUGGAGCCGUCCUUGAAAUACCACCCUUUAAUGGCUGGUGUUCUAACGUGGGCCCGUGAUCCGGGUUGCGGACAGUGUCUGGUGGGUAGUUUGACUGGGGCGGUCUCCUCCUAAAGAGUAACGGAGGAGCACGAAGGUCAGCUAAUCCUGGUCGGACAUCAGGAGGUUAGUGCAAUGGCAUAAGCUGGCUUGACUGCGAGCGUGACGGCGCGAGCAGGUGCGAAAGCAGGUCAUAGUGAUCCGGUGGUUCUGAAUGGAAGGGCCAUCGCUCAACGGAUAAAAGGUACUCCGGGGAUAACAGGCUGAUACCGCCCAAGAGUUCAUAUCGACGGCGGUGUUUGGCACCUCGAUGUCGGCUCAUCACAUCCUGGGGCUGAAGUAGGUCCCAAGGGUAUGGCUGUUCGCCAUUUAAAGUGGUACGCGAGCUGGGUUUAGAACGUCGUGAGACAGUUCGGUCCCUAUCUGCCGUGGGCGCUGGAGAAUUGAGGGGGGCUGCUCCUAGUACGAGAGGACCGGAGUGGACGCAUCACUGGUGUUCGGGUUGUCAUGCCAAUGGCAUUGCCCGGUAGCUAAAUGCGGAAGAGAUAAGUGCUGAAAGCAUCUAAGCACGAAACUUGCCCCGAGAUGAGUUCUCCCUGACUCCUUGAGAGUCCUGAAGGAACGUUGAAGACGACGACGUUGAUAGGCCGGGUGUGUAAGCGCAGCGAUGCGUUGAGCUAACCGGUACUAAUGAACCGUGAGGCUUAACCUU
rnacentral:rRNA from 1 species